ACUGCUCAGUAACACGUAGUCAACCUGCCCUCGAGUCGAGAAUAAUCUCGGGAAACUGAGGCUAAUGCUCGAUAGAUCAAGAUUCCUGGAAUGGGUUUUGGUCCAAACGGUGUAACGGCAUCUCGUUAUUUCCGCUCGAGGAUGGGACUGCGGCCGAUCAGGCUGUUGGUGGGGUAAAGGCCCACCAAACCAGUAACCGGUACGGGCUUUGAGAGAAGGAGCCCGGAGAUGGACACUGAGACAAGGGUCCAGGUCCUACGGGGCGCAGCAGGCGCGAAACCUUCGCAAUGCGCGAAAGCGCGACGAGGUUAUUCUGAGUGAUUUCCGCUGAGGAAAUCUUUUCCUAGAUCUAAAACGUCUGGGGAAUAAGGGGAGGGCAAGUCUGGUGUCAGCCGCCGCGGUAAUACCAGCUCCUCGAGUGGUCAGGGCGUUUAUUGGGCCUAAAGCAUCCGUAGCCUGCUCAGUAGGUCUCCUGUUAAAUCCAACGGCUCAACCGUUGGUCUGCAGGAGAUACCGCUGGGCUAGGAGGCGGGAGAGGUGGACGGUACUCCGAGGGUAGGGGUAAAAUCCUUUGAUCCCCGGAAGACCACCAAUGGCGAAGGCGGUCCACCAGAACGCGCUCGACGGUGAGGGAUGAAAGCUGGGGGAGCGAACCGGAUUAGAUACCCGGGUAGUCCCAGCUGUAAACGAUGCGAGCUAGGUGACACGACGCCUUCGGGGCAUCGUGGUGCCGCAGGGAAGCCGUUAAGCUCGCCGCCUGGGGAGUACGGACGCAAGACUGAAACUUAAAGGAAUUGGCGGGGGAGCAC
rnacentral:rRNA from 1 species